rnacentral:lncRNA from 1 species
UAUCUGCAUUGAUUUUUCUCACCUCUUUAUGUUAUAUAAUUUACCCCAUUCUAUUGUGACAAGGAAAUCACUUUAAAAGACUGAUAUAUAUUAAUUUAAGGUUGCCAAGGAAUUCAGCUAUGUAAUUCCUAAAUGAAAACUCAAGUCAGCAGUCAAACUUUUAUGGAGUUUAAUUACAAACAGGAUGAAGAAAGGUAUUAGAGAGAGAGAGAGAGAGAGAGAGAGAGAGAGAGAGAGAGAGAGAGAGAGAGAGAGAGAGAGAGAGAGAGAGAGAAAGGGGAGAGAAGGGAAUAGGAGAUAUAUAGUGAGAGAGAAAGGGGAGAGAAGGGAAUAGGGCUUAAAUACCCCUUCUGUUUAGGCUGGGCCAAAAGGCCCAAGCCCUUAGAUAGCUGAGGCAAAGAAAAGAGAUCAGUCCCUAUCACUCACGUGACCAAAAUGGAGAAACAGUCUCAGGGGCCUCCACCUCCAGCUUCCUUCAGAGCAAGCUUCUCAGAGCACCACCUCUCAGAGCAAAAACCUCUCCAACCAACCCCCCUAGUCCUCAGACCUCC